UACGUAGGGGGCAAGCGUUGUCCGGAUUUAUUGGGCGUAAAGAGCGUGUAGGCGGCCAGACAGGUCCGUUGUGAAAACUCAAGGCUCAACCUCGAGAUGUCGAUGGAAACCGUCUGGCUAGAGUCCGGAAGAGGAGUGUGGAAUUCCUGGUGUAGCGGUGAAAUGCGCAGAUAUCAGGAAGAACACCUAUGGCGAAGGCAGCACUCUGGGACGGUACUGACGCUGAGACGCGAAAGCGUGGGGAGCGAACAGG
rnacentral:rRNA from 1 species